rnacentral:rRNA from 1 species
GACGAACGCUGGCGGCGUGCUUAACACAUGCAAGUCGAACGGAAAGGCCCUGCUUUUGUGGGGUGCUCGAGUGGCGAACGGGUGAGUAACACGUGAGUAACCUGCCCUUGACUUUGGGAUAACUUCAGGAAACUGGGGCUAAUACCGGAUAGGAGCUCCUGCUGCAUGGUGGGGGUUGGAAAGUUUCGGCGGUUGGGGAUGGACUCGCGGCUUAUCAGCUUGUUGGUGGGGUAGUGGCUUACCAAGGCUUUGACGGGUAGCCGGCCUGAGAGGGUGACCGGCCAAAUGGGGGCUGAGAAACGGCCCAGACCCCUACGGGGGGCAGGAGGGGGGAAUAUGGCAAAAGGGGGGGAAGCCGGAGGCAGCAACGCCGGGGGGGGGAUGCCGGCCUUGGGGUUGGAAACCGCUUUCGCCUGUGACGAAGCGUGAGUGAGGGUAAUGGGGAAAGAAGCACCGGCUAACUACGU